rnacentral:rRNA from 1 species
UACGGAGGGUGCAAGCGUUAUCCGGAUUCACUGGGUUUAAAGGGUGCGUAGGUGGGCAGGUAAGUCAGUGGUGAAAUCUCCGGGCUUAACCCGGAAACUGCCAUUGAUACUAUCUGUCUUGAAUAUCGUGGAGGUGAGCGGAAUAUGUCAUGUAGCGGUGAAAUGCUUAGAUAUGACAUAGAACACCAAUUGCGAAGGCAGCUCACUACGCGAAUAUUGACACUUGAGGCACGAAAGCGUGGGGAUCAAACAGGG